AGCCCUUGACAUGGACACAGCCGGAGGCAGAGACGCCUCCUUCGGUUCGGCCGGGUGUCACACAGGUGCUGCAUGGCUGUCGUCAGCUCGUGUCGUGAGAUGUUGGGUUAAGUCCCGCAACGAGCGCAACCCUCGCUCCUAGUUGCCAGCGGGUUAAGCUGGGCACUCUAGGGGAACUGCCGGUGAUAAGCCGGAGGAAGGCGGGGAUGACGUCAAGUCCUCAUGGCCCUUAUGGG
rnacentral:rRNA from 1 species